rnacentral:rRNA from 1 species
UACGUAGGGUCCGAGCGUUGUCCGGAAUUAUUGGGCGUAAAGGGCUCGUAGGCGGUCUGUUGCGUCGGGAGUGAAAACUUACAGCUUAACUGUGAGCGUGCUUUCGAUACGGGCAGACUAGAGUGCGGUAGGGGAGACUGGAAUUCCUGGUGUAGCGGUGAAAUGCGCAGAUAUCAGGAGGAACACCGGUGGCGAAGGCGGGUCUCUGGGCCGAUACUGACGUGAGGAGCGAAAGCGUGGGGAGCGAACAGG